AUGUCAGAACUGCACGCCAUCUACCAACCACCCUCACUCUGACCAGUAGCCUUUAGGCUGACCUGAAGGACUACAACAGCCAUGUUUUUGGCAGAAGCUGGAUGUGCGUUUAUCAUUUUCAUCCUGUACAUCUCAGGAGUUCAUGGACAAGCAAACAGCAUCUGUGCCUUAAAAGGUUCAUCAGUGGAUCUGCCCUGCUCAGCUCAACGUCCCACUACAACCAUGAAGUGGUACACUGUACACAGGAAUGGAUCUACAUUUGUUCAGAAGGAACUCUCUACAGA